CGAGCGGACAGAAGGGAGCUUGCUCCCGGAUGUUAGCGGCGGACGGGUGAGUAACACGUGGGUAACCUGCCUGUAAGACUGGGAUAACUCCGGGAAACCGGAGCUAAUACCGGAUAGUUCCUUGAACCGCAUGGUUCAAGGAUGAAAGACGGUUUCGGCUGUCACUUACAGAUGGACCCGCGGCGCAUUAGCUAGUUGGUGAGGUAACGGCUCACCAAGGCGACGAUGCGUAGCCGACCUGAGAGGGUGAUCGGCCACACUGGGACUGAGACACGGCCCAGACUCCUACGGGAGGCAGCAGUAGGGAAUCUUCCGCAAUGGACGAAAGUCUGACGGAGCAACGCCGCGUGAGUGAUGAAGGUUUUCGGAUCGUAAAGCUCUGUUGUUAGGGAAGAACAAGUGCAAGAGUAACUGCUUGCACCUUGACGGUACCUAACCAGAAAGCCACGGCUAACUACGUGCCAGCAGCCGCGGUAAUACGUAGGUGGCAAGCGUUGUCCGGAAUUAUUGGGCGUAAAGGGCUCGCAGGCGGUUUCUUAAGUCUGAUGUGAAAGCCCCCGGCUCAACCGGGGAGGGUCAUUGGAAACUGGGAAACUUGAGUGCAGAAGAGGAGAGUGGAAUUCCACGUGUAGCGGUGAAAUGCGUAGAGAUGUGGAGGAACACCAGUGGCGAAGGCGACUCUCUGGUCUGUAACUGACGCUGAGGAGCGAAAGCGUGGGGAGCGAACAGGAUUAGAUACCCUGGUAGUCCACGCCGUAAACGAUGAGUGCUAAGUGUUAGGGGGUUUCCGCC
rnacentral:rRNA from 2 species